rnacentral:lncRNA from 1 species
UAUGCUGUUGAUCUGCAAAAAGUACACAAAAAAACCUUCAGAACUUACAAUAGGAGCUACAAAUAAGCAAAGUAAAACUCAGUAAAAAAUAGACACAUUCUGCUCGCUGUAAUGCUGUAAUGCCUUUCUGAUGUGUUAUGAUAUCUCCUAAAUAAUACUACACUGUUGACAGACGUCUGGUAUGUACUGUAUGUUUUCUGUCAUUGCUGAGCAUCUAUAAGGAGCAAGCCAUAUCAGUAGUGAUGGCGAAAUGAAGCUUCAUGAACCUUUGAAGCUUUCCAGCCAGACGUGUUGAAAAAAGGUUCACUACUCGAAGUGUCGUUCGCUCUCUAGUGACAUCUGCUGGUCAAUAAAAACACGGUGUAGAAAAGAUUUUUUCCGGACAGUGACUUGGUUCAAUUCAUAGUGGUGCGCAAGGCCUGCUAAAAUAACAUGCACACAAACGUAUGGUGAAAAAAACGUACCUCCAAUAAUUCAAAUUUCAUUGUUGGCGAAUACAACGACAAUAAAGGCUUUCUUUUUCUAUUCUUUCUUCUUAUAAUAGUUUGACCUAUUGUUUUAAGUGUUGUACGGUGGCACAACGGUUGCGACGUCGUCUUGAUGCGCGGAUUACUCCGUUUCGAAUUCUGGCCAUAGUGAAUUUUAACCCGAUACUUUGGAUAAAAACGCAUGCUAAUUGUCUUUACUCUCUUCUGUAGGCUAUGCUGUUGGAACAGAUGGUAGUUAAAGUGCUUUUGGAAUACAGGUCAGUACUUUAGUAAAACCAAGGGUAGUGAGAGUGCUUUUGGACAACUGGUCAGUAAAAGUGCAGGGCACUGAAAAGGGGGCGAAAGUGCUUUGUGCAACUGGAUCAAGGGCUUUCUCUUCCUAACUGGCUCCAUAACUCUAUCUCAAAUAAUCUAUACUACUAACAACACCAAACAAUCUAAAUCUCCAACUACCGCUAAAUCUCCAACUAUCGCUGAAUCUCCAAUCACUGACAACAACAACCACGAAUAGGAGAUGGGAAUUGGGACAUCGUAUAGUCUAAAGGGCAAUUUAGACCUCUGCAACUACGGCUGCGGCUGACUGCACAGUUGCUUCGAGGGACUCGUUUUGGUUUAUGGUUCCUU